UACGUAGGGGGCAAGCGUUGUCCGGAAUCAUUGGGCGUAAAGAGCGUGUAGGCGGCCCGGUAAGUCCGCUGUGAAAGUCCAGGGCUCAACCCUGGAAUGCCGGUGGAAACUGUCGGGCUAGAGUCCGGAAGAGGCGAGUGGAAUUCCUGGUGUAGCGGUGAAAUGCGCAGAUAUCAGGAGGAACACCAAUGGCGAAGGCAGCUCGCUGGGACGGUACUGACGCUGGGGUGCGAAAGCAUGGGGAGCGAACGAGG
rnacentral:rRNA from 1 species